CAACUAUUUAACCGAAGAAGCUUUCUUUUAAAUUCUUGACUACUGCUUGCCAAAAGAACAUGUACAUAAUGCUUCGUGAUUGAUAUUCCUUCAGUGAGACCAGACGCUUUCACUAAAUAUAUGUAAACAGAUGAGAAUGAAGAUACCAAAUACUCAUGUGGAUUUGGUGGAUUUAGAGUAAAAAAUAUUCAAGCUUCUCAUGGACAAGUAUCGAUCGGUCGGGACGCGAAACCGUAUGAAACCGAUCGGUUUAUCUGACUUGUUGGAGUAAAAAGAGGAGUUCAAAGAUAAAAUGGAGAAAAUGAGUCAAGAAAAUGAUUGACUUUUUCACUGGUCGGUACCGAAGACAUAUAAAAUCGAUAAGUUUGGGGUUUCUAAAGUUUCAUUUUUCUAUGUUUUAGCGCUAUGACCAUUGCAUAAUAAUAUCCGAUGUAUUUUAGUCGAAUGAGUGCGACACUUUAUGCAAUUUUUCUAGUUUCUAAGUUUGUUCUUCUUUUGAUAGUUUUGUUUAAAAUAUUCUUCAAACUCUUUGCAAAUCUCUUUUCAAAGUCAAUGAUCUCUUUCUCUAUUGUAAUCAUGUUUACCUGGGCCAUGAGUAGUAGUCCUAUCAUUGAAUUUGGGAUUUGAAAGAGGUUG
rnacentral:misc_RNA from 1 species